AAGUAAAAAUCGUACCAUGUUUCGUAGUGAACUGCGGAAGGAUCAUUA
rnacentral:rRNA from 1 species